UUUAAUGAAUCACUUGAAACUUUACUCUCCCUACAUGUUUUGCGGUCUCGCGUGUCAUAGUUUUCUGGUGUUCAGCCUUCGCCAAUUAUUAGCGCAAAUCUGAAUGUCCUUCUCGCAAGUGAAGUGGAAAAAUCUCUCGUUAUCUUUGAAAGCUGUUUCGCCGGCGUAAAAGCCUCGAAGCUUACGACGUCAAGGUGGAAGGAUGUCGAAAACGCUUCCAGGUAUGUACUGGGUGUCCUAGUUCUUUUUUUUUCGCCAAAUUUUACCAGCAUAUUUUAUCAAAAAAAUUAGGGGUCAACUCUGGUGACCGAAUACUCUGAAUAUUAUUUUAAGGGAUUUUUAGGGCGUCUGGAAAAGCGAUCCUUGUAUGAUGUGCUGGUCAAGAGACACAAGGACAGAUAUUUGGUUUCCAAAAAUAUGCAAAAACGUGACUACAUUUUGCCAGGAUUUUUAAGCUCAGAAGCAAUAUUUUGUCAUGAUUUCUUUUUCAAAAUAUUCUUCGCGCAAAAAUGUAGGUCGGUAAAGAAAUUUUGCAAUUUUACCCUUAAAACUUCACGAGACAGAAACUUGCAAAUUUUUAUGGAAGAAAUUUUUUCAUUCCUAUAACUUUUCAAUAAAGUAUUCGAAGGCCUACAUUUAUACAUUUCUUCCUUAAUUUUGUUUAGAGAAUAUGUUUUGUAAAGUUUGCGGAAAUAAACUAGGACACCCUGUAUAUAAAAUGAAAUUGAAAAGAGAACCGGAGGAAUUUCCCUGUUCUCUCUCUUUAUUUCGCAUUCAUUCCGUCUUUCUCCGUCUUGAUUUCUGGUAUGCACCUCUCAGAUAGAAAGUCCGUGCAAAGCUCCGAGCUUUGCUGGUGUUAUUUAAGCGGUGGUACAGUCGUACGUAUAACCAGACGCGAGCCUUCUUCUCGUUUCCUUCUAUUACAGUUAUACGGAUCUUGUUUUACUUCUUGGUUGUUCCUUGCUUUAAUUAGACGAUGACGAUAAGAAAUGGACGAAUUUAUUAUGCUUCUGACAAGUUUGCCUGUUAAAGAGAAUGGUUGUACGAGUUCCUUGGUAUUAUUAACACUUUAAAUGUCGUGUCAUCCAUAUGUCGCUGAUGCUUCAAUUUCUGUACGAAUCUAACAUUUAUUUUAUUAAGAAUUUGUUCAUUUAUUUACGAUGAAGAAUUGAACAAAUUAACCAGACUUUUACAUACGAUACUGAAAAGCACUUACCGUCUGCUGGAAGCAGAGACCUUUUUAUUAAACAAAUAUUCUUGAACUUAUUAAUACAAAGAACCGUGCUUCGGUCUACACGUACAUUCUGAACCAUUUACCAACUGUUUUGAGAUACAUAUAUGUAUUUGGAGUACGAAGAUACUAAUAUCUGAUUUAUGAUAUCGAUUUAACACUUUGAUUGCCGUGUCAUCCAUAUAUGCGUGACGUUUAAAUUUCCAUACGCAUUUAUCAUCUAUAUUAUUGAGAACUACUUCACUUACCUAAUUGAAAAUGCUCGUAUUAACUGCUCGGAAUAAUAAAUAAUAAAUGUAACGAAAUAAUGGAUAAUAAAUAUAACGAAGUAUUGUGAAUAUGUUCGGUAAGGUUUAUUGAACACAAAAAUACUACGUAGUAAAAACUAUAGUCAUUUUAUUCUAACAUCAAAAUUUGGUAACAUAAUUCUUAGGCAGUGGAUGAUUAAUCAUACCAACUUUGAAUGGAUGUGUUAUUUUUAAUGGUACAAAGAAAUGUUAUACACGCUGUUCUAAUUAAAUGUACACAUACAUGACUAAAGUGGUGCUUAUUUGAUUAAAACAAUUCUUUUGUACAUUUUCGUGGAGCACCGUGUCAAUACGUUCACCUUCAGUAAUGUGGUAUUUUUGUACAUUUUUCAAUUAAAUAUUAAAAGUCGCUACCAGCUAUUGAAUUUUAUAUUUUCCGACAAAUUGUGUAUUCUUCGAAAUUGCUCGACUGAUAGCAAUAAAUACUACUUUUCCUCUUCACUUCUAGUACAUAAUUUAUCGAGAAUUCGACUCUGAGAUUUAUCGACAAUCUGGUGUACGGAUUCGUUCAAAAUAUUAAUAAGCACAUAACACUCUGUAAUAUUAUGAAAUAUGAAAUGUUAAGGAUGUUUCUUAGCGUACAGAGUAGACUAAUAUUUCAGGAGUUGAAUUUUAAGCACCCUACUGCGGAAAUCUGAAGGAUCAAGAAAUUUUAAAACAUUUAAUUAUUCACAAAGUGUUAUAAUUGUUGCUAUUAAAAAAGAAUGUUAAAAGAAACAAUUGCACAUCUUCGAUAAGACGUGUUGAAGCCAAUCGGAACGAUUCGGCAAUCUUCGGUAAUUUACGGCGCCCGAGCCGGUGGCCGAUCCGCGAUAAUUGACAUGUGUCAGAAUAAAGAAGGCGAAUAGUAAAGACAUGUAGCGUGAAUAACUAAUAAAUUGUUAAUUUUAAGAUGUGUGAGAAAACUUGUGUGAAGUAUAAUAAUUCAGGCAGCCACUGUAAUGGGUUUAGAAAAUUAAGAUGUAACCACAUAAAUCUGUACUACAGGUUACGGCUUGUCUGAGAGUCGUAAACUCGGGAAACAAGCCCCGUGAGUAUCUUCGAGCAAUGAAAUAACGUCGUUAGUUUUACUAUUAUUUCUUCUCUCUUUUCUACCUGCAAAGUAGUACGUUCACGUAAAUUGUUUAAAGCGUUUUAAGUCGAUCCUCUCAACAAAUCGGUUAAAAAUUUAGAAUCAAUCUUUGAGGUUAUAUUGUCGUUUUAUAUUAUACGUGGUAAAAUUUUAGUAAGUCCUUGAAGUACAUUUUUGUGGAAUAAUUUUAGGCUAGUUUAGUUACGAGCCAGAUGCACGUUCGCCUUUUUUAUUUUACGGUUAAAUCGUUAAGUCUCUUUUGUAACCAUUUUACACUGAAGGAAAAUACGCAUAACUACCAAUUUUUUUGUUGCAGUUGAAUACAAAGAUUACAGUUACAAAA